rnacentral:rRNA from 1 species
CUUGGCUCUCGGAGGCGAUGAAGGACGUGAUAAGCUGCGAUAAGCUUCGGGUAGGUGCAAAUGACCUUUGAUCCGAAGAUUUCCGAAUGGGACAACCCGGCAUUCUGAAGGAAUGUCAUCCAACUUGGUUGGAGGCUAACGCAGGGAACUGAAACAUCUUAGUACCUGCAGGAAAAGAAAAUAAAUAAUGAUUCCCCUAGUAGUGGCGAGCGAACGGGGAUUAGCCCAAACCACCCAUGUUACGGCAUGUGUGGGGGUUGUAGGACCACGCUCUCGCAAGACAGUUAUUGAGAAGAAACGACUGGAAAGUCGUGCCAUAGACGGUGAUAGCCCGGUAUUCUAAGGUAACCGAAGCGUAGUGGUAUCCUGAGUAGCGCGGAGCACGAGGAAUUCUGCGUGAAUCAGCCGGGACCAUCCGGUAAGGCUAAAUACUCCCGAGAGACCGAUAGCGAACCAGUACUGUGAAGGAAAGGUGAAAAGCACUUCGAAUAGAAGAGUGAAAUAGUCCCUGAAACCAUGCGCCUACAAGCGGUCGGAGCAGCUU